rnacentral:lncRNA from 1 species
UGGAACGGUAUGACAGUUUUAGUACUUAUAAACCUAUUAUCCCUCUCAUUUUCUAGGCCCUCUUAAAGCUAUGAUUCCAGUUUUUCUUCCCAAUUUUCUGCAAGUAUUUUGUAAAUAACGAAGUUACAAAAUAUUAAAGAUUCUAUGUAGUAACUUCCAGUUUUUCUUCCCAAAUUUUAUCUUGUGGUAAUUUAUAUUCUUUAAAACUUUAUCACAUGUUUCCCUUAGUUAGCUCUAACAUUGUGAUAGCUUCUUUACCUCGUUUUUUUAUAUUCCAACAGAGUAAAAAGCUAGAUCCACUUGCUAGAGUGACACAUAAGUUCACUUGGUAGAUA